CCCUAGUAACGGCGAGUGAAGCGGCAACAGCUCAAAUUUGAAAUCUGGCUCUUUUAGAGUCCGAGUUGUAAUUUGCAGAGGGCGCUUUGGCUUUGGCAGCGGUCCAAGUUCCUUGGAACAGGACGUCACAGAGGGUGAGAAUCCCGUACGUGGUCGCUGGCUAUUGCCGUGUAAAGCCCCUUCGACGAGUCGAGUUGUUUGGGAAUGCAGCUCUAAAUGGGAGGUACAUUUCUUCUAAAGCUAAAUAUUGGCCAGAGACCGAUAGCGCACAAGUAGAGUGAUCGAAAGAUGAAAAGCACUUUGGAAAGAGAGUCAAACAGCACGUGAAAUUGUUAAAAGGGAAGCGCUUGCAGCCAGACUUGCUUGCAGUUGCUCAUCCGGGCUUUUGCCCGGUGCACUCUUCUGUAGGCAGGCCAGCAUCAGUUUGGGCGGUAGGAUAAAGGUCUCUGUCACGUACCUCCUUUCGGGGAGGCCUUAUAGGGGAGACGACAUACUACCAGCCUGGACUGAGGUCCGCGCAUCUGCUAGGAUGCUGGCGUAAUGGCUGUAAGCGGCCCGUCUUGAAACACGGACCAAGGAGUCUAACAUCUAUGCGAGUGUUUGGGUGUCAAGCCCGAGCGCGUAAUGAAAGUGAACGGAGGUGGGAACCCGCAAGGGUGCACCAUCGACCGAUCCUGAUGUCUUCGGAAGGAUUUGAGUAAGAGCAUGGCUGUUGGGACCCGAAAGAUGGUGAACUAUGCUUGAAUAGGGUGAAGCCAGAGGAAACUCUGGUGGAGGCUCGCAGCGGUUCUGACGUGCAAAUCGAUCGUCAAAUUUGGGCAUAGGGGCGAAAGACUAAUCGAACUAUCUAGUAGCUGGUUCCUGCCGAAGUUUCCCUCAGGAUAGCAGUAACGUAUUCAGUUUUAUGAGGUAAAGCGAAUGAUUAGAGGCCUGGGGGUUGAAACAACCUUCACCUAUUCUCAAACUUUAAAUAUGUAAGAAGUCCUUGUUACUUAAUUGAACGUGGACAGUUGAAUGAAACGUUAUUAGUGGGCCAUUUUUGGUAAGCAGAACUGGCGAUGCGGGAUGAACCGAACGAGGGGUUAAAGUGCCGGAAUAUACGCUCAUCAGACACCACAAAAGGUGUUGGUUCAUCUAGACAGCAGGACGGUGGCCAUGGAAGUCGGAAUCCGCUAAGGAGUGUGUAACAACUCACCUGCCGAAUGAACUAGCCCUGAAAAUGGAUGGCGCUCAAGCGUGUUACUUAUACCCCUCCGCUGGGGCAAAAUUUACGCCCCAGCGAGUAGGCAGGCGUGGAGG
rnacentral:rRNA from 1 species